rnacentral:rRNA from 1 species
UAAUACGAAGGGGGCUAGCGUUGCUCGGAAUUACUGGGCGUAAAGGGCGCGUAGGCGGACAUUUAAGUCAGGGGUGAAAUCCCGAGGCUCAACCUCGGAACUGCCUUUGAUACUGGGUGUCUUGAGUGUGAGAGAGGUAUGUGGAACUCCGAGUGUAGAGGUGAAAUUCGUAGAUAUUCGGAAGAACACCAGUGGCGAAGGCGACAUACUGGCUCAUUACUGACGCUGAGGCGCGAAAGCGUGGGGAGCAAACAGGAUUAGAUACCCUGGUAGUCCACGCCGUAAACGAUGAUUGCUAGUUGUCGGGCUGCAUGCAGUUCGGUGACGCAGCUAACGCAUUAAGCAAUCCGCCUGGGGAGUACGGUCGCAAGAUUAAAACUCAAAUGAAUUGACGG